GAACGAAGGAAAGAAAGAGAAGAAAAUCGAGAGAGAGAGAGAGAGAGAGAGAGAGAGAGAGAGAGAGAUCAACUCUAUGUGCUGAAAAUGGUGAAGGAAAGCGAUGGAAAAGCUUGGAAAAGGUGAAGAAUUGAAGAGAGACUCAAGAAAUUGAGAAGAAAUUCAUCAAAUUGAAGGUUUUAGGUGAUCAAGUGCGUGACCAGGUUUAAAAGUGUCUGCCUGGAAUAUGUUUUUGUCAGCCAACCUAUGUGCCUCCCGUGGAGGUUCUGCAUAUGUCAAGUGGUCAAGGCUAUGUGAUUAAAGUUUAAGUUUUUGUUUAUUCUAUAAUUAGGACUAAGUCCCUUUUUGUCUAGUCUGUACAUAUGUGAUGAAGUAAGGGUGAUGUAUGAUAUAUGUAUAUAAAAAGUUUAAAUUUUUUUUUUGUCUCA